GAGGGAAUGACUGGUGACAGAGUGAGAGAGGGGGUGACUAGUGACCGAGUGAGGGAGGGAGUGGGUGACUAGUGACAGAGUGAGGAAGGGGGUGACACAGUGAUAGUCACCCCAUUCCUCCCUCUGUCACUAAUCACCACCUCCCUCACUCUCACUAGUCACACCCUCCCUCUCUCUGUCACUAGUCACACCCUUACUCACUGUCACUAGUCACACCCUUACUCACUGUCACUAGUCACACCCUCCCUCCCUCUGUCACUAGAGUGAGGG